rnacentral:rRNA from 1 species
UGGGGAAUAUUGCACAAUGGAGGGAACUCUGAUGCAGCGACGCCGCGUGAACGAAGAAGGCUUUCGCGUCGUAAAGUUCUUUUAUAUGGGAAGAUAAUGACGGUACCAUAAGAAAAAGCCCCGGCUAACUACGUGCCAGCAGCCGCGGUAAUACGUAGGGGGCUAGCGUUGUCCGGAAUCACUGGGCGUAAAGGGUUCGCAGGCGGAAAUGCAAGUCAGGUGUAAAAGGCAGUAGCUUAACUACUGUAAGCAUUUGAAACUGCAUAUCUUGAGAAGAGUAGAGGUAAGUGGAAUUUUUAGUGUAGCGGUGAAAUGCGUAGAUAUUAAAAAGAAUACCGGUGGCGAAGGCGACUUACUGGGCUCAUUCUGACGCUGAGGAAUGAAAGCGUGGGUAGCAAACAGG